ACGUAUGGUGCAAGCGUUAUCCGGAUUUACUGGGUGUAAAGGGAGCGCAGGCGGAAGGUUAAGUCUGAUGUGAAAGCCCGGGGCUCAACCCCGGUACUGCAUUGGAAACUGGUCAUCUAGAGUGUCGGAGGGGUAAGUGGAAUUCCUAGUGUAGCGGUGAAAUGCGUAGAUAUUAGGAGGAACACCAGUGGCGAAGGCGGCUUACUGGACGAUAACUGACGCUGAGGCUCGAAAGCGUGGGGAGCAAACAG
rnacentral:rRNA from 1 species